rnacentral:rRNA from 1 species
AUUGAACGCUAGCGGGAUGCCUAACACAUGCAAGUUGAGCGCGCGGCGGACGGGUGAGUAAUGUAUGGGGACUGCCCGAUAGAGGGGGUUAACUACUGGAAACGGUAGCUAAUACCGCAUACUAUCGGACAACCCAUAUGAGCUUAGCUAGUCGGUGUGGUAAUGGCUCACCUAGGCGACGAUCCCUAGCUGGUCUGAGAGGAUGAUCAGCCACACUAGGACUGGGACACGGCCCAGACUCCUGCGGAGGCAGCAGUGGGGAAUAUUGCACAAUGGGCGAAAGCCUGAUGCAGCCAUGCCGCGUGUAUGAAGAAGGCCCUAGGGUUGUAAAGUACUUUCAGUCGGGAGGCGUUACCGACAGAAGAAGAACCGGCUAACUCCGAGCCAGCCGCCGCGGUAAAAC